GAUGAAGAACGUAGCGAAAUGCGAUAAGUAAUGUGAAUUGCAGAAUUCAGUGAAUCAUCGAAUCUUUGAACGCACCUUGCGCUCCUUGGUAUUCCGAGGAGCAUGCCUGUUUGAGUGUCUUGAAAUUCUCAACCUUUUCAGCUUUCUUUGUUGAUCAGGCUUGGAUGUGGGAGUAUGCGGGCUUCUCAGAAGUCGGCUCUCCUGAAAUGCAUUAGCGGGACCUUUGUUGCCUGGCUUUGGUGUGAUAAUUAUCUACGCCAUUGUAGUCAAGCAGCUUAAAAUGAGGUUUCAGCUUCUAACCGUCUCCCCUGAGACAACUUUUUGACAAUUUGACCUCAAAUCAGGUAGGACUACCCGCUGAACUUAAGCAUAUCAAUAAGCGGAGGA
rnacentral:misc_RNA from 1 species